UGGCCCCUUUUAGCAUAUAAUGCCAUUAAUAUUAAUGCAAUGUUUUUUGUCAUGUAAAAAUUAAAAAUAUUCCUCAAAAAGCUGAUUAAUGGUUCAAAAAUAAUCCUGAAUUUUAACAGGAUUUCUUAUCUCCCUCUUUUUAAACUAUAUAUAUGUAUUUUUUUCCCUAAAAUAAGGUUUCUGGAAAUGUAAUUUCUAUAAUUAAAAAAUUUACCAUUAAAACUAAAGGGUGAAGAUUCAUAAAAUACAUGAGGAUUUAAAGAUAACAGCGAGCUACACAAUUCUGGUAUUUUUUUCAUUGUUUAACAUUGUAUAGAUUUCAGCAUAAAUUCAGCAUUUAUUCAUUUCCAUUUCUUUACAAGUAAUAUUCUCAGAAGCAUUAUUAUUUUUGGAGAUGGUCUAUAUGGGUUGGUUGAAAUUCUCAAUGUGAUGAUGGUAAUUCGUUUUCAUGACUUAAGUAAUUGAGCCUAGUUUUAGUGUUAUUAAUUAUAAUUACAUUAUACUGUAUUUCCAAAGGAAAACAGAAUAAAUAUAUCAUAAUCACUAUAACCAUACUGUAAAAAAAACAGUAAUUACAUAUUAAUUCCCAUCAGUUCAGUCACAUACCAUUGCACUUAAUGCCUUCAAUAUGUUUCAGGCUUAUUAUACAAUAAGCACUGAUUUUCACUUAGAUAUGAUAAUUCAUGGACUUUCUCAACCACAGUACCCAAGGUUCCAUCUUAAAUC
rnacentral:lncRNA from 1 species